UACGAAGGGGGCUAGCGUUGCUCGGAAUUACUGGGCGUAAAGGGCGCGUAGGCGGCACUGUUAGUCAGGCGUGAAAGUCCUGGGCUCAACCUGGGAACUGCGCUUGAUACGGCAGAGCUAGAGGAUGGAAGAGGCUCGCGGAAUUCCCAGUGUAGAGGUGAAAUUCGUAGAUAUUGGGAAGAACACCGGUGGCGAAGGCGGCGAGCUGGUCCAUUACUGACGCUGAGGCGCGACAGCGUGGGGAGCAAGCAGG
rnacentral:rRNA from 1 species